UAUAAUGCACACGAUGAACUCCGACCAAAUGAUGGAGUGGGUAGAAGAAUCCAAAAGCGGCAGGAAGUCUUCUCCCUCGCCACGGAAUUCGUUCUUCUCUUCUCCCUUCCCCUCGUAGGAUCUUUGUGCAUUUGCCUCUGCUAGUUCUGUUUUGUUGAUUGUAAUGUGUUGUUAUUGGUUUCUGGAGAAGUUCUCUUUCGUUGCUUGUAACUCGAUCUGCAAGUCAUGGCCUUUUCCUGGUCGAUCGAUUGACUGGUGCUUGGCAUGUGAGUUGUGGCCUAUUUGGUUCUAUGCUCGUGAAGGAAAAGUCUGAGCUUUGGCCUCAAUUUUUGGUGCUCGUCUGACUUAGGGUUUGAUAUUUCAGUCUCAAGAUUGGUCCUUUCUUCGUUGAAUUCUUUCUUGGAGUUUAGGACAUUCGGUUCUUGUUGGUAAUGUCGCGUCGUGAAGAUGUAAUUUUGAUUCUUGUGCUGAUUUUAGAUGGGCAGUGGAUCUGGCGAGUCGUAUAAUGGAGAUUCCCAAAGCUGCUUGGUUGGUGGAAGUAGUAGCAACAGGGAGGCCGGAAAUUUCCAAUGCAACAUAUGCUUAGAUCUGGCGCAGGAGCCCGUUGUCACCCUAUGCGGUCACCUCUUCUGCUGGCCUUGCCUUUACGAAUGGCUCCAUGAUCAUUCCCGCUCUUCUGAAUGCCCUGUCCGCAAGGCCACUGUUGGGGAGGAGGAGAUCGUCCCUCUCUACUGUGGAGGAAAUAGCUCCACGCACCCUCAGUCCAGGUCGACCACUCGUGUGGACAUUCCCAGCCGUCCCGCCGCUGGUCGGAGGUUGGCAACAGCCCCACAACUGCCAUCCGAUGCAAACCAUAUAUAUCACCAUGACACGAAUCAUAUCCAUCACACGGCUGGUUGGACGCCGGCGACAGCCUUGCAACCGCAACCCGAUUUGAACUAUAUCUAUCAUCGUAACAUGAACCAUAUCCAUCAUCAUGAGCCAUGGGUCAUGGCCUCAAAUCACUUGGCUGGAACGGGGCUUGGGAACUUCACAUUCCCAAAUACACCUGCAAAUCAUUCUGCUGCCGCUAGGAAUCAAAUGGCCGGCAUAAAUCAGAGAAACUUCAUGUUUCAGGAUGCAACUGCCAAUGAUGUCGACCAUGGCAGCCAUGCCAAUGUAUUUCAUAGUCUGCCUGCUUAUGGUUUCCACCAUGGUCAUGGCCAGCAUUCUUAUUGGUUCCACCAUGGUCAUGGACCUCAUGCUUAUGGUUUCGGUCAUGCUUAUGGGUUCUGGCGACAUGCAAACUGUGGACGACAGUUACUCCCUCUGCAGGAGGCAUGAAUGCAACCCAGUGUGACAUCCAGGUGGGGCCUCUCGUUAUGUGGAUGAUGACCUCUACUACUUACCCCUGGUUUCUGACACCUAAAAAGUUGCCAAGUUUGAACUCAAGAGGUAGAGAUUCAAACAAUUGGAGCCAUUUACUGCAUUCUGCCAUAAUAACUGCAGAAAACGUAUGUUGCAGUACUUCUGCACUUCCCUCUGCCAUAAAUAAGUAAAGAAAAUAUAUGUCAGCAGCAUUAAUAUCACCACAUGAUCAUUGAUCCUCUCCUGUACUAGUGGUCCACCAGAUCCAUGCAAGAUGUGCCAUAGAUUUACUGCACCAUAGAGAGAAAAUUGAACUCAUGAACACCAGUAGCUUUCAGAGAUGUUCAUUAAAGUAGUGCUGAACUGUGUUCGGUGACUGCCCAUCAAGACCUACAAGCCAAUCCCUAGCAAGAGGCAUCGAUGUACCUCUCUGGAGACCCACAUCCCGGAUAUGCGCAGAGAGUUGGCAAACCUGUCUUGUUCUUCUAUUGGUCUUCCGAGGGUCUGCUGCUCGAAGAAAAGACCCAUCUCCAGUCCUUUCUGCGUACUCUGUUGAUAAAAAAAGUAUUGAGAGUCAAUUUCCGCUUUGACGGCUGUACAUUAUUCCUUGGAUCCACAAAGGUUUCACACAUUGGAGUCUUCGUAACGUGGAAAGACAGCAGAAAUUUCCUAGUGAACGAAAGCUACUUGUUUUCUCCUGCUUACAUCGACGAGCAUUGUCGCAGGAACUCUAAUGUAAUUGGCUUACCUACGAACCUUUUCACUUCUUUUAUCAGUUUAUUAAUACCUCAUCACCUCUAAUGAAUUCUGGGCUACAGAUUGGACAUUAGAAAAUUAUAUCUGAGCUGAUUCUGAGAUAUUUAAAGUCAUUUCUGGAGUUGA